rnacentral:rRNA from 1 species
GCGCUUCUUGGAUAGGCCAGGAAGCAUGCCUCUUUGAGUAUCGUUUUCACCUCAGCUCGAUGGCUUUGUUGUAUUAACUUACGAUGAAGUCAUAUCGGAUAAUGAGUCUUUAUAACAUCUUGUCCUAACGGAUAAGUUACUUUAAAUAAAGUUUAAGCUCAUAUAUUACAACAUAUACUAUAUAGUUGUUAGUUAUUUGAGAAUGUGGAUAAUUUAUUAUUUUACAUUUACUUAUGAUUAACGUUAAUGCUAUAUAGUCAUAUUAUAUAUGAAUCAUAUGCUUAAAUGUGGAAAUUAAAACCAAAAAUAAAAUAUUAAUUUAUUUUAUUCGAAAGUAAGAUCUCAAAUGAAGUAAGACUACCCGCUGAACUUAAGCAUAUUAUUAAGCGGAGGAAAAGAAACUAACAAGGAUGCCCUCAGUAACGGCGAGUGAAGCGGGCAAAGCUCAACCUGAAAAUCAAAUACCCAAGCGGGUGUUUGAAUUGUGGGCUAUAGAUGCAUGAUCAGUGUGUGACCUAAGCAUAAAUCUUUUGAAACAAGGUAUCAUAGAGGGUGAGAAUCCCGUCUUUGGCUUAGAGUUUUCGCCACGUACGAUCGGCAGUCAGAGAGUCGAGUUGUUUGGGAUUGCAGC